rnacentral:lncRNA from 1 species
UUAAUUCGCAUAUAUAAGGCCCCCUAGCUCCAUCGAUUGAUGCAAGCUAUCCAUAAAGUAACAUAUGUCUUUUCAUUUCUCAACAGGAGACAAAGUCUUACAAAUGAGAGAAAAAAAGGGGGCAGGAAAGGAGAAUGGCGAAUUCAACACACUAGUGGGAACCCUUCUUUGCUCUCUCCUCUGCUCGGACACUGGAUACCGCUCCCCCUCGCUGAUGGCUAGUCAGCCCUCUAGCCAUCAUGGUCACGGGUAUCCUCUUUGAUCCGGAGGCUCUAACACUAGAAGUGUUUAUGAAAGUAUAGUACUACUAGUAAAACUACCAUCCUUCUGAACAGAAGGUGCUAAGCAUAAGUUGAAGUGGAGACAGUAUGGUAUGAUGAACUGACUUCUCAUCCUGCAGUGAACUUAAAUAGUACUUAACAUUCCACGCAUAACAACAGGAGAUGCUUAUACAGCUACAUAAAACAGCCACAUAAAAUUAAAUCAGCACAGCCAUCUAUACGUAACAUAAGUGUAUGUUUGCAGUUUUGCAUAAUCUGUAUGAACUAUGAAGCGCCAAGCUUGUUUCUUUUUUUGGAGAAAAGAGAUCUUCAUACAAAGAUUAACAAAAUAUGUAAAAUAAAAUAAAUCCAGUGAGCAGCCCUGUAUCACCAGCAAGGUAUAAAAGGUGUGAGUUUCAUCGAAUCAAACCAUACAAACAUCAUACUAACAGUCAAAAUCCGAGAGUCAGUCGGCAAUAUCUAAAUCCAAGACUAAAGAUAAAACCCGGGGCCAAGGCAUGGGUGACGGCCGGCAUGACAGGACUGCAAUUUCUAUCAAACCCGCAAGAUCGAUCCUGGCCUGCAGCAGGCGAGAGGGGACGGGAGGAGGAGGAGUUGGAGGACGAGCUUCCGCGACGGGGAGGAGAGGGAGAUGCGGUUGCACGAGCCGGGGAGGGGAGGAGGAGUUGGAGGACGAGCUUCCGCGACGGGGAGGAGGGAGAUGCAGGGCGUAAGAGUGCGUGGGAGACGGGAGGAGUAGGAGAGGAAAGUGGACGAUGAGGGGGGCACGGGAGAUAUACCUGCUCUCCCGGCGAAGUUCCUCCGGGUGGAAGGGGGCCGGCUGCCGGAUCUUAAACCGGCGACGAGGUGUGGCCGCAGGGCAGAAGAGUGGAUAGGUAGGAGAAGGGUGGGGAAGGGGGGCGGGGAGUAGUAGGGGAGAGGAAAGAACAUGAGGCGUAGGGGAGGGGAGGAAACUUGUACCUCCACAGCAGCGAGGCGCGGCGGACCUUUCUGCGGCGGCGAUGUGGACGGCGGCGACGUGGGCGAGAUCUAAGGGGGUCGCGCGAGAAGGGGAGAGUGGUGUGAGAAGUAGAGACUGCAGAGCGACCACGCGAAUAAACCCCUUCCCAAAUAUAUUUAUUUCUUGGAAAGGCG